rnacentral:piRNA from 1 species
UGACUUUUCUAUAUUCACAGCUUGAU